rnacentral:tRNA from 1 species
GGCUGAGCGGUAAAGCGCUAGGCUUCUAAACCGGGGACCUGGGUUCGAAUCCUGG